rnacentral:rRNA from 1 species
UACGUAGGGCGCAAGCGUUGUCCGGAAUUAUUGGGCGUAAAGAGCUCGUAGGUGGUUUGUCGCGUCUGCCGUGAAAGCCCGGGGCUUAACUCCGGGUCUGCGGUGGAUACGGGCAGACUAGAGGCAGGUAGGGGAGAACGGAAUUCCCGGUGUAGCGGUGAAAUGCGCAGAUAUCAGGAAGAACACCCGUGGCGAAGGCGGCU